rnacentral:lncRNA from 1 species
AAAGCUGGGGCGAGUCCUGCGGGCGGGGGUGCAGGACUAGGCCACUCCUGCAACCCCCUGGCCUCAAGGCCCCUUUGCUCUCAGGGGUCGCGUCUGCACCCUCAGGGUUGCUGUGAAGAUCAGGGCUUGCCCAUAAGCCUGGUGCUCAGUGGGGCUGCGGCUCUGUUUGUUCCACCACCUGCUACCUUCCCUUUUGGUGUAGUGGCAGGGAGACCACCGCAUGUGCAUUUACGCAGCCCCUUCUCGGCAGCCUGGAUCGUGGCUGGUCCUCUGUGAGGGCGAGGGGUGUGCCCAGGACUCAGCUCUGCGGGAGCUGGUGGAUGCACACUCAGGCCUGUUUCUCAGCCAGGGGAAAACAAUUGGUUCAGAGGCUGGAUCCCUGGGGACACCAGGAGCAGGUGCGGGCAGCUCUGAGCUUCCCACCACUCCCUGGCUGAGCCUCUCUAAACUGGGCCUAUAGACCCAUGGGGGCUGGGAGCCUUCCUGCAGGAGGCAGAGGCUGAAUAGAUGAGCCUCCUUGACUUCCACCUUCCCCAGG